rnacentral:rRNA from 2 species
GUGCCUAAUACAUGCAAGUCGUACGCACUGGCCCAACUGAUUGAUGGUGCUUGCACCUGAUUGACGAUGGAUCACCAGUGAGUGGCGGACGGGUGAGUAACACGUAGGUAACCUGCCCCGGAGCGGGGGAUAACAUUUGGAAACAGAUGCUAAUACCGCAUAACAACAAAAGCCACAUGGCUUUUGUUUGAAAGAUGGCUUUGGCUAUCACUCUGGGAUGGACCUGCGGUGCAUUAGCUAGUUGGUAAGGUAACGGCUUACCAAGGCGAUGAUGCAUAGCCGAGUUGAGAGACUGAUCGGCCACAAUGGAACUGAGACACGGUCCAUACUCCUACGGGAGGCAGCAGUAGGGAAUCUUCCACAAUGGGCGCAAGCCUGAUGGAGCAACACCGCGUGAGUGAAGAAGGGUUUCGGCUCGUAAAGCUCUGUUGUUGGAGAAGAACGUGCGUGAGAGUAACUGUUCACGCAGUGACGGUAUCCAACCAGAAAGUCACGGCUAACUACGUGCCAGCAGCCGCGGUAAUACGUAGGUGGCAAGCGUUAUCCGGAUUUAUUGGGCGUAAAGCGAGCGCAGGCGGUUGCUUAGGUCUGAUGUGAAAGCCUUCGGCUUAACCGAAGAAGUGCAUCGGAAACCGGGCGACUUGAGUGCAGAAGAGGACAGUGGAACUCCAUGUGUAGCGGUGGAAUGCGUAGAUAUAUGGAAGAACACCAGUGGCGAAGGCGGCUGUCUGGUCUGCAACUGACGCUGAGGCUCGAAAGCAUGGGUAGCGAACAGGAUUAGAUACCCUGGUAGUCCAUGCCGUAAACGAUGAGUGCUAGGUGUUGGAGGGUUUCCGCCCUUCAGUGCCGGAGCUAACGCAUUAAGCACUCCGCCUGGGGAGUACGACCGCAAGGUUGAAACUCAAAGGAAUUGACGGGGGCCCGCACAAGCGGUGGAGCAUGUGGUUUAAUUCGAAGCUACGCGAAGAACCUUACCAGGUCUUGACAUCUUGCGCUAACCUUAGAGAUAAGGCGUUCCCUUCGGGGACGCAAUGACAGGUGGUGCAUGGUCGUCGUCAGCUCGUGUCGUGAGAUGUUGGGUUAAGUCCCGCAACGAGCGCAACCCUUGUUACUAGUUGCCAGCAUUAAGUUGGGCACUCUAGUGAGACUGCCGGUGACAAACCGGAGGAAGGUGGGGACGACGUCAGAUCAUCAUGCCCCUUAUGACCUGGGCUACACACGUGCUACAAUGGACGGUACAACGAGUCGCAAGCUCGCGAGAGUAAGCUAAUCUCUUAAAGCCGUUCUCAGUUCGGACUGUAGGCUGCAACUCGCCUACACGAAGUCGGAAUCGCUAGUAAUCGCGGAUCAGCAUGCCGCGGUGAAUACGUUCCCGGGCCUUGUACACACCGCCCGUCACACCAUGGGAGUUUGUAACGCCCAAAGUCGGUGGCCUAACCUUUAUGGAGGGAGCCGCCUAA